rnacentral:sRNA from 1 species
GCCUGGCAUGGUGGUGUGUGCCUGUAAUUCCAGCUACUAAGGAGGCUGAGGCAGGUGGAUGGCAAGUUUGAGUCCAGCCUGGGCAAUGUAGCAAGACUUUGGCUCAA